GGUUAAGCGACCAAGCGUACACGGUGGAUGCCCUGGCAGUCAGAGGCGAUGAAGGACGUGCUAAUCUGCGAUAAGCGCCGGUAAGGUGAUAUGAACCGUUAUAACCGGCGAUUUCCGAAUGGGGAAACCCAGUGUGACUCGUCACACUAUCAUUAACUGAAUCCAUAGGUUAAUGAGGCGAACCGGGGGAACUGAAACAUCUAAGUACCCCGAGGAAAAGAAAUCAACCGAGAUUCCCCCAGUAGCGGCGAGCGAACGGGGAGGAGCCCAGAGCCUGAAUCAGCAUGUGUGUUAGUGGAAGCGUCUGGAAAGGCGCGCGAUACAGGGUGACAGCCCCGUACACAAAAGCGCAUAUGCUGUGAGCUCGAUGAGUAGGGCGGGACACGUGGUAUCCUGUCUGAAUAUGGGGGGACCAUCCUCCAAGGCUAAAUACUCCUGACUGACCGAUAGUGAACCAGUACCGUGAGGGAAAGGCGAAAAGAACCCCGGCGAGGGGAGUGAAACAGAACCUGAAACCGUGUACGUACAAGCAGUGGGAGCACAGGUUUACCUGUGUGACUGCGUACCUUUUGUAUAAUGGGUCAGCGACUUAUAUUCUGUAGCAAGGUUAACCGCAUAGGGGAGCCGAAGGGAAACCGAGUCUUAACCGGGCGUUAAGUUGCAGGGUAUAGACCCGAAACCCGGUGAUCUAGCCAUGGGCAGGUUGAAGGUUGGGUAACACUAACUGGAGGACCGAACCGACUAAUGUUGAAAAAUUAGCGGAUGACCUGUGGCUGGGGGUGAAAGGCCAAUCAAACCGGGAGAUAGCUGGUUCUCCCCGAAAGCUAUUUAGGUAGCGCCUCGUGAAUUCAUCUCCGGGGGUAGAGCACUGUUUCGGCUAGGGGGCCAUCCCGGCUUACCAACCCGAUGCAAACUGCGAAUACCGGAGAAUGUUAUCACGGGAGACACACGGCGGGUGCUAACGUCCGUCGUGAAGAGGGAAACAACCCAGACCGCCAGCUAAGGUCCCAAAGUCAUGGUUAAGUGGGAAACGAUGUGGGAAGGCCCAGACAGCCAGGAUGUUGGCUUAGAAGCAGCCAUCAUUUAAAGAAAGCGUAAUAGCUCACUGGUCGAGUCGGCCUGCGCGGAAGAUGUAACGGGGCUAAACCAUGCACCGAAGCUGCGGCAGCGAACGUAUCACUUAAAACGAUUCAGAAGCUUACGAUUGACGGAGCGAAGCGACGUCAAAGCGUAUACAAAGUCGAGUCGGUUUAAGGAUACGUUCGUUGGGUAGGGGAGCGUUCUGUAAGCCUGCGAAGGUGGCCUGUGAGGGUUGCUGGAGGUAUCAGAAGUGCGAAUGCUGACAUAAGUAACGAUAAAGCGGGUGAAAAGCCCGCUCGCCGGAAGACCAAGGGUUCCUGUCCAACGUUAAUCGGGGCAGGGUGAGUCGACCCCUAAGGCGAGGCCGAAAGGCGUAGUCGAUGGGAAACGGGUUAAUAUUCCCGUACUUGGUGUUACUGCGAAGGGGGGACGGAGAAGGCUAUGUUGGCCGGGCGACGGUUGUCCCGGUUUAAGCGUGUAGGCUGACUUUCCAGGCAAAUCCGGAGAGUCAAGGCUGAGGCGUGACGACGAGGCACUACGGUGCUGAAGCAACAAAUGCCCUGCUUCCAGGAAAAGCCUCUAAGCAUCAGGUAACAUCAAAUCGUACCCCAAACCGACACAGGUGGUCAGGUAGAGAAUACCAAGGCGCUUGAGAGAACUCGGGUGAAGGAACUAGGCAAAAUGGUGCCGUAACUUCGGGAGAAGGCACGCUGACACUUAGGUGAAGUGAUUUACUCAUGGAGCUGAAGUCAGUCGAAGAUACCAGCUGGCUGCAACUGUUUAUUAAAAACACAGCACUGUGCAAACACGAAAGUGGACGUAUACGGUGUGACGCCUGCCCGGUGCCGGAAGGUUAAUUGAUGGGGUCAGCGCAAGCGAAGCUCCUGAUCGAAGCCCCGGUAAACGGCGGCCGUAACUAUAACGGUCCUAAGGUAGCGAAAUUCCUUGUCGGGUAAGUUCCGACCUGCACGAAUGGCGUAAUGAUGGCCAGGCUGUCUCCACCCGAGACUCAGUGAAAUUGAACUCGCUGUGAAGAUGCAGUGUACCCGCGGCAAGACGGAAAGACCCCGUGAACCUUUACUAUAGCUUGACACUGAACAUUGAGCCUUGAUGUGUAGGAUAGGUGGGAGGCUUUGAAGCGUGGACGCCAGUCUGCGUGGAGCCGACCUUGAAAUACCACCCUUUAAUGUUUGAUGUUCUAACGUGGACCCGUGAUCCGGGUUGCGGACAGUGUCUGGUGGGUAGUUUGACUGGGGCGGUCUCCUCCUAAAGAGUAACGGAGGAGCACGAAGGUUGGCUAAUCCUGGUCGGACAUCAGGAGGUUAGUGCAAUGGCAUAAGCCAGCUUGACUGCGAGCGUGACGGCGCGAGCAGGUGCGAAAGCAGGUCAUAGUGAUCCGGUGGUUCUGAAUGGAAGGGCCAUCGCUCAACGGAUAAAAGGUACUCCGGGGAUAACAGGCUGAUACCGCCCAAGAGUUCAUAUCGACGGCGGUGUUUGGCACCUCGAUGUCGGCUCAUCACAUCCUGGGGCUGAAGUAGGUCCCAAGGGUAUGGCUGUUCGCCAUUUAAAGUGGUACGCGAGCUGGGUUUAGAACGUCGUGAGACAGUUCGGUCCCUAUCUGCCGUGGGCGCUGGAGAACUGAGGGGGGCUGCUCCUAGUACGAGAGGACCGGAGUGGACGCAUCACUGGUGUUCGGGUUGUCAUGCCAAUGGCACUGCCCGGUAGCUAAAUGCGGAAGAGAUAAGUGCUGAAAGCAUCUAAGCACGAAACUUGCCCCGAGAUGAGUUCUCCCUGAGACUUUGAGUCUCCUGAAGGAACGUUGAAGACGACGACGUUGAUAGGCCGGGUGUGUAAGCGCAGCGAUGCGUUGAGCUAACCGGUACUAAUGAACCGUGAGGCUUAACCUU
rnacentral:rRNA from 1 species